AAUAAAAUAGAUAAAAUAAAAUAAAUAAUAAAAUAAAAUAGAAUGAACGUGGAUCGCUUGGCCCCAGCCUUGCGCGGCGGCCGCCCUGCCCCGGGGUGGAGAGGCGGGGUCUGCAAGGGUCGAGGUGCCCGGGCGAGCCGGCGGCCCACACCCGCCGCGGGACCUCCCUUUGUGCGGCCGCUCCCGCUCGGGACGCCCUCCCGAGACCAGGGGGGACGGGGGGAGCCCGCGGCGUCCUGGCCUCGGCCCGGGCGGACCAGGCCCCCGGGAGGCAGCUGGGCAGUGUCUGUCUGCCGGGGCCACGUUGGUUCCCCAUCGCAGAUGAUCGCGGAUGACGUCCUUGCAUUUUCAGGGGCCCUUCAGCGGCUUCCAAGCCGUCUUCCAAAGGAGGACAUCUAAAGACUGGGAAUUUCAAAGACCCACCCCAGCUGGAGCUGGACUCCGGCCAUCCAUGUACUCUGCACCUUAUGGAAUAUGAGGAUCACGAACUGCAGACUGACCCUAGACUCCUAAGUUUAAAGAGCUCACCUUUCAAAGUGAAUCUCAAGAUGCAACCUCAAGUGUUAAAGGCAGACAGAAAGAGAUGCUUCUCAAUGCUGUUUGCCAGGAGGUUGUCCCAGGUAAG